rnacentral:rRNA from 1 species
UACGGGGGGAGCAAGCGUUGUUCGGAUUUACUGGGCGUAAAGGGCGGGUAGGCGGCCACCGCAAGUCGACUGUGAAAUCUCCGGGCUUAACCCGGAAAGGUCAGCCGAUACUGCGGGGCUAGAGUGCAGAAGGGGCAACUGGAAUUCUCGGUGUAGCGGUGAAAUGCGUAGAUAUCUGGAGGAACACCGGUGGCGAAGGCGGCAUCCUGGACCAACACUGACGCUGAGGAGCGAAAGCCAGGGGAGCAAACGGG